AUACGGAGGGGGCGAGCGUUAAUCGGAAUUACUGGGCGUAAAGGGUGCGUAGGCGGUUUGAUAAGUCGGAUGUGAAAGCCCCGGGCUUAACCUGGGAAUGGCAUUCGAUACUGUCAGGCUAGAGUAUGUCAGAGGUUGGCGGAAUUCCUGGUGUAGCGGUGAAAUGCGUAGAUAUCAGGAGGAACACCAGUGGCGAAGGCGGCUAACUGGGGCAAUACUGACGCUGAGGCACGAAAGCGUGGGGAGCAAACAGGAUUAGAUACCCCAGUAGUCC
rnacentral:rRNA from 1 species